GACGAACGCUGGCGGCAUGCCUAAUACAUGCAAGUCGAGCGAACAGAUGAAGUGCUUGCACUUCUGACGUUAGCGGCGAACGGGUGAGUAACACGUAAGGAAUCUACCUAUAAGCGGGGGAUAACAUUCGGUAACGGGUGCUAAUACCGCAUAAUAUCUUCUUCCGCAUGGAAGAAGAUUGAAGGAAGGCUAUGCUGUCACUUAUAGAUAACUUUGCGGUGCAUUAGUUAGUUGGUGGGGUAAUGGCAUACCAAAACAAGGAUGCAUAGACUACCUGAGAGGGUGAGCGGCCACAUUGGGACUGAGACACGGCCCAAACUACUACGGGAGGCAGCAGUAGGGAAUCUUCCGCAAUGGGCGAAAGGCUGACGGAGCAAUGCCGCGUGAGUGAAGAAGGCCUUCGGGUCGUAAAACUCUGUUAUAAGAGAAGAACAAAUUGUAGAGUAACUGCUACAGUCUUGACGGUAUCUUAUCAGAAAGCCACGGCUAACUACGUGCCAGCAGCCGCAGUAA
rnacentral:rRNA from 1 species